rnacentral:lncRNA from 1 species
CGCUCUGCUCUGCAGCGCAUCCGGUGCCAAGGAGGGGAGUAGCGAACGUUGACCUUGUCCCUAAGGAGCUUACACGCAGGGAGGGCAUGGACUGGAACUCCCAAUACCCCUGACAUGGGCUGAGUCAACGUGGUCAUGAACAUGUGACAGGAGGCAGCAGAAGUUGCAGAGAAGAGUGAGGCACGUUUGAAAAAGGCUGAAAAAUGUUUCUGUCCAGGCAAGGGUGUGUGCUGAAUGACUCAAGGAUUUUUUGGGCAACACAAACCAACACGAGCCGUGUGAGGAUCAGGUGACAGCUGCCCAAAAGCUGACACAAGGAACAAGCCUGGAGGAGUGAGGAUGGGUGCUGUGAAGGAGGUUGUGCAGCUGGGCCCGCAGUCGGACCUGGUGAGAUCAGAGGAGGGGGUGCCACCAGUCUGUGGACGAAGAUGAGAAGCUGGAAUAGAGCAGAAAACAGGAGGCUGCCACUCUCCAUCUUUCCCAAAGUCACUCCAGGAGCAAGGGUGUCAUUUACUGAAAUGACAGACUCUCCAUUUCACAUUUUUCCCCCAAGUGCAGAGUGCAGGGAAGCA